rnacentral:rRNA from 1 species
GACAGAGGUGCCGAGCGUUAGGCGGAAUCACUGGGCUUAAAGCGUGUGUAGGCGGGUCGUUAAGUACCUUGUGAAAUCCCACGGCUCAACCGUGGAACUGCUGGGUAUACUGGCGGUCUUGAGCCACCUAGGGGCGAGCGGAACAAGCGGUGGAGCGGUGAAAUGCGUGGAUAUCGCUUGGAACGCCAACGGUGAAAACAGCUCGCUGGGGGUGUGCUGACGCUGAGACACGAAAGCCAGGGGAGCGAACGGG